UACGUAGGCGGAAAAUUAAGUCAGUAGUGAAAUCCUGCAGCUUAACUGUAGAACUGUUAUUGAUACUGGUUUUCUUGAAUAUAGUUGAGGUAGGCGGAAUGUGUAAUGUAGCGGUGAAAUGCUUAGAUAUUACACAGAACACCGAUUGCGAAGGCAGCUUACUAAGCUAUGAUUGACACUGAGGGACGAAAGCGUGGGGAGCGAACAGGAUUAGAUACCCUGGUAGUCC
rnacentral:rRNA from 1 species